rnacentral:rRNA from 1 species
AGUUUGAUCCUGGCUCAGGGAUGAACGCUGGCGGCGUGCUUACACAUGCAAGUCGAAGCGGCUUCGGCUAGUGGCGGAAGGGUGAGUAACGCGUGAGAAUCUGCCCUCAGGAGGGGGAUAACAGCUGGAAACGGCUGCUAAUACCCCAUAUGCCGAGAGGUGAAACAAAUUUCGCCUGAGGAUGAGCUCGCGUCUGAUUAGCUAGUUGGUGAGGUAAGGGCUCACCAAGGCAUCGAUCAGUAGCUGGUCUGAGAGGAUGAUCAGCCACACUGGGACUGAGACACGGCCCAGACUCCUACGGGAGGCAGCAGUGGGGAAUUUUCCGCAAUGGGCGCAAGCCUGACGGAGCAACGCCGCGUGAGGGACAAAGGCCUCUGGGCUGUAAACCUCUUUUGUCAAGGAAGAAGACUUGACGGUACCUGAGGAAUAAGCCACGGCUAAUUCCGUGCCAGCAGCCGCGGUAAUACGGGGGUGGCAAGCGUUAUCCGGAAUUAUUGGGCGUAAAGCGUCCGCAGGCGGCCCAGAAAGUCUGUUGUUAAAACCUGGGGCUCAACUCCGGCCAGGCAAUUGAAACUACUGGGCUUGAGUGUGGUAGGGGCAGAGGGAAUUCCCGGUGUAGCGGUGAAAUGCGUAGAUAUCUGGAAGAACACCAGUGCCGAAGGCGCUCUGCUGGGCCAUAACUGACGCUCAUGGACGAAAGCUAGGGGAGCGAAAGGGAUUAGAUACCCCUGUAGUCCUAGCCGUAAACGAUGAACACUAGGUGUCGGGAGAAUUAACCCUCUCGGUGUCGUAGCCAACGCGUUAAGUGUCCCGCCUGGGGAGUACGCACGCAAGUGUGAAACUCAAAGGAAUUGACGGGGGCCCGCACAAGCGGUGGAGUAUGUGGUUUAAUUCGAUGCAACGCGAAGAACCUUACCAGGGCUUGACAUCCUGCGAAUCCCUGAGAAAUCGGAGGGUGCCUUCGGGAACGCAGUGACAGGUGGUGCAUGGCUGUCGUCAGCUCGUGUCGUGAGAUGUUGGGUUAAGUCCCGCAACGAGCGCAACCCACGUCUUUAGUUGCCAGCAUUUAGUUGGGCACUCUAGAAAGACCGCCGGUGAUAAACCGGAGGAAGGUGUGGAUGACGUCAAGUCAUCAUGCCCCUUACGUCCUGGGCUACACACGUACUACAAUGCUACGGACAAAGGGCAGCAAACUCGCGAGAGCUAGCAAAUCCCAUAAACCGUGGCUCAGUUCAGAUCGUAGGCUGCAACUCGCCUGCAUGAAGGAGGAAUCGCUAGUAAUCGCAGGUCAGCAUACUGCGGUGAAUACGUUCCCGGGCCUUGUACACACCGCCCGUCACACCAUGGAAGUUGGCCAUGCCCGAAGUCGUUACUCCAACCCGCAAGGGAGGGGCAGGACGCCGAAGGGAGCGAUGACUGGGGUGAAGUCGUAACAAGGUAACCG